rnacentral:rRNA from 1 species
GCAAGUCGAGCGAGAAGGUUUUGAAUGAUUCUUCGGAUGAUUUCAAAACUAGAGAGCGGCGGACGGGUGAGUAACGCGUGGGUAACCUGCCCUAUGGAGGGGGAUAACGUUUUGAAAAGAACGCUAAUACCGCAUAAGCGCACAGUAUUACAUGAUACAGUGUGAAAAACUCCGGUGCCAUAGGAUGGACCCGCGUAAGAUUAGCUAGUUGGUAAGGUAACGGCUUACCAAGGCGACGAUCUUUAGCCGACCUGAGAGGGUGAUC